UCCCUAUUUUCUAGAUUACAACUAGAACUAACUAGAACUAGAACUAGAGGAACUAGAACUAGAACUAGAUGAACUAGAACUAGAUCUAGAUGAACUAGAGGUAGAGCUAGAAGAACUAGAGGGAUCCUCUCUACUUGGAUGAAGAAUUGAAACCCUAACUUUGAUUCUGUAGAAGAGGUAUGAUCUCCAAGGGCCAGGGGGUCUGGUUUUAUAGUCCCUUCAAGUGAAUCUGAGGCGUUGGAUCAAACCGACAUUGAUUGAACGGUUAUCCUUGAUCCUUUAGGUCGGUGGAGCAAUAUCCCGAAAGAGAGUCCUGAUUGGACUCUAUGUGAGGGCAGGCGCCCAGGAGAGGAGGGCGGGCGCCCUGUCCCUGAGUCCUCUCGGCCUCCGCUUCGGUCCCGUGGCUUCUGGAGUCUUCUAGAUGAUAGAAAAUUAUGCGGCACGUUAAUAUCUCUAUGUAAACCCGACGUGUGGGUCUUUCUUCUGUAUUUCCUAAUAACCCCCUGCAGAAAUAGACAAACACCAAAACUCGUAGAAUUCUGUCAGAUAAAACCCUAAGUCUAGGUGUUGGUUGCAUUUGGAUCCUUUUCCAUGAUUAAUUGAUGGUUAAAUAUGAGCAUUAAGGACCGUCAACAAGCUCCCCCAAGCUUAACCUUUGCUCGUCCCUGAGCAAAGAUGGGCUCAAGAGUUUCUGUAGUGGUUUCAUGCCUUAAAGAUACACAUGCGGCUUAGGGUAAACUGUUAAGAUUUAAACUUACUCAUUUUACCUUCCACCAUGGGGCUUGCAACCGUCACUUGAGUCUUGAGCAAUUAAAAGAUAGAACGGUCUAGUCAAGCACCAUGUCUCUUGUUCUUUGAUUAACUAUAGCUCUGGAGUUUUUUUUGCAGAUUUUCAAAUAAAACUCAGAGAUUCCUUGUAUGACUCUCUCUAGUAUCUCUUUUGUGGUAUUUCUGGAUCCUUACCAAGGCAGUAAUGGUAUAUGCCUUCUCUCAAAGUAUGUGGUAUUUUUGGUAUGAGGCAUAGUGACAUUGCCUUUUCUCUCACCCUACUCUAAUAAGGCUUUUGAUAUCUGGAGCUCAUAGGUGGGAGACAGCUAAUACAUACUUACAAGACAUUUAUUGCAUAGUCAAACCAUGGAUCCAGAAGAACAAGUCAAUAAGUCAAAUCAAGAUGUGCAUGUGUGGCAAAUGAAUGGUGUAUGGUGAUGAUGGUGAUAACAAUGGUGAAAGUCUAAUUCUACUUGUGCUAUUUUGAGGGAAUACAUACCUUUCUUGCUCUUUGAAGCUUUUUGAGAGGAAUGAGAUGCUCUAUAUUUUCUUUUUUUCUUGUCUCUCAGGUGGGUAUCUUGUACCCCUAAUUCUACUAUCGGACACUUGUCCAUUUUUACCUCUCGUCUCACUUUUUCUUUUCUUUCGAGGUUUCGGGCACUUGCCUCUUUUUAUUUCCUCGUAUCUCUUUUUUUUCUCUCUUUUUUAGAGCACUCAUCUCUUGAAAUAAUGUAGCAAGUGGUAGUAGCCAAGAUAACAUGAGCAUUUAUUUCACAGGGGAAAACAGAAAUAUUUUUGGCUAUUCUCUCCCGGAUUAGGAGUAGAAUAUUUUUGGGUGGUUCUGGAGAUGGAAAUGGGUGGAUAUAUGUGGAUGCGUACUUCCGGGGUAGAAGCAGCAUGUAUGAGUGAACGUGCAAGUGAAUCUUGAUUUAACCACAUGACAAGCUCCUAAAGGUCUACACAGCUUGACCACACUCAAUGCUCAUAAGCAGUAAAAAGUAAAUAUGUGGCUCAAAGUCUAGCAAGCAUGUAUAUAUGGCUGUGGUAGGAAUUUAAACUCUCAUCAUACAGGAACUCAUCAUGUGUUAUUUUAAAGAUUUUCAAAGAUAAAAUUCUCCAGUUUUCUAGCAUCUCUAGGAACAGAUAAACAGCAGCUCAACCUUCCCAUAUCAUAUUCAUUAACGACUUAGACUUUAGAUCAAGUACUCUUCCCACAAGUUUAGGUUUAGAGCAAAUCUUAAUUAAUAACAGUCAUGCCUAAACUUGAGAGAGAUUUCAAUUUUUAGAACUAGUCAUGGUAGAGCAACUAUUCAUCAUUUCCAUGUGAGAGCUUAUC
rnacentral:lncRNA from 1 species